rnacentral:rRNA from 1 species
ACGGAGGGUGCAAGCGUUAAUCGGAAUUACUGGGCGUAAAGCGCACGCAGGCGGUCUGUUAAGUCAGAUGUGAAAUCCCCGGGCUCAACCUGGGAACUGCAUUUGAAACUGGCAGGCUUGAGUCUUGUAGAGGGGGGUAGAAUUCCAGGUGUAGCGGUGAAAUGCGUAGAGAUCUGGAGGAAUACCGGUGGCGAAGGCGGCCCCCUGGACAAAGACUGACGCUCAGGUGCGAAAGCGUGGGGAGCAAACAGG